rnacentral:rRNA from 1 species
CUACGGGAUGCAGCAGUGGAGAAUAUAGCACAAUGGGCGCAAGCCUGAUGCAGCCAUGCCGCGUGUAUGAAGAAGGCCUUCGGGUUGUAAAGUACUUUCAGCGGGGAGGAAGGGAGUAAAGUUAAUACCUUUGCUCAUUGACGUUACCCGCAGAAGAAGCACCGGCUAACUCCGUGCCAGCAGCCGCGGUAAUACGGAGGGUGCAAGCGUUAAUCGGAAUUACUGGGCGUAAAGCGCACGCAGGCGGUUUGUUAAGUCAGAUGUGAAAUCCCCGGGCUCAACCUGGGAACUGCAUCUGAUACUGGCAAGCUUGAGUCUCGUAGAGGGGGGUAGAAUUCCAGGUGUAGCGGUGAAAUGCGUAGAGAUCUGGAGGAAUACCGGUGGCGAAGGCGGCCCCCUGGACGAAGACUGACGCUCAGGUGCGAAAGCGUGGGGAGCAAACAGGAUUAGAUACCCCUGUAGUC